rnacentral:rRNA from 1 species
GUAGGUGGCAAGCGUUGUCCGGAAUUAUUGGGCGUAAAGCGCGCGCAGGCGGUUCUUUAAGUCUGAUGUGAAAGCCCACGGCUCAACCGUGGAGGGUCAUUGGAAACUGGAGAACUUGAGUACAGAAGAGGAAAGCGGAAUUCCACGUGUAGCGGUGAAAUGCGUAGAGAUGUGGAGGAACACCAGUGGCGAAGGCGGCUUUCUGGUCUGUAACUGACGCUGAGGCGCGAAAGCGUGGGGAGCAAACAGGGAUUAGAUACCCUGGUAGUCCACGCCGUAAACGAUGAGUGCUAAGUGUUAGGGGGUUUCCGCCCCCUUAGUGCUGCAGCUAACGCGUUAAGCACUCGCCUGGGGAUACGGCCGCAAGGCUG